UACGUAGGGUGCGAGCGUUAAUCGGAAUUACUGGGCGUAAAGCGUGCGUAGGCGGUUCGUUAAGUGCGUCGUGAAAGCCCCGGGCUCAACCUGGGAAUGGCGAUGGAAACUGGCGGGCUGGAGUAUGGCAGAGGGGGGUGGAAUUCCGCGUGUAGCAGUGAAAUGCGUAGAGAUCGGAAAGAACACCAACGGCGAAAGCACUCUGCUGGGCCGACACUGACACUGAGAGACGAAAGCUAGGGGAGCGAAUGGG
rnacentral:rRNA from 1 species